rnacentral:tRNA from 16 species
CUAAACUAAACUAUCGACUUGACUCAACAUGUACGAACUUGUAUUAGAAACACUACGUGGGUUCAAUUCCCUUCACC